GUCCAAGUUGGCAAAAUAGUUAGUUAUAGUGGCCCAAGAAAAGUGUCCGAUAGACCUAUUCAGAUCGCAGCCGAAAAGACAGCUAACGAUUAGCGGGCCGCAGAUGGGCGAUCAGGUUACGUCGCGACGGAGGGGCCAGUUGGAUAACUCCCUCGGGCAGAUAACGUCGGUGGUCCAGUCGUGAAGACCCGAUGGGGCUCCGCAUCGGCAGUAAAACGGGUCAGGAUAGCCGGCUGACUAAGACUGACAUGGAGCUGGAGGUGCUGCGAUACACUAACCGGAUUUCCAGUGAAGCCCAUAAAGAGAUAAUGAAGCAUGUGAGACACAGACAGAAAGAAUAUGAAAUGGAGAGAAUACCAACUCAAAAUAUGGAAGCAGCAGGACAACUGAUGAUCUCCCAGAUGAUCAAUGAACAAGGUGACCUUCUUUGUCAACACCAUGAUCAGCUGGCUCAACUGGGGACGGCCAUGGAAGAAAUUCUCCGCAGUCUACAACAUCUCAACAGGGGAGGAUAUUCUAGAGCCAGUCUACCCAACGAGUCAGCACACCAGCCCAUUCAGCAACCCGCUCAGGUUGGUGGUUCCUGGUCCCCUAGCUGAUGCUGUCCCCCACCCCCCGGACAUCAAGUGAGGCCCAGCGUAUGCUGUCAGAUCCUUAUUGGACUCCUGACGUUGUGGGGGUCAACUCCAGUAUCUGGACUGGGAGGGGUAUGGGAGGCGUCUGCUCCUCCCCUCCGGCGUACAACGUCGCCAGAGUACUAACCAGUCAUCAUUACGCACACCUGGCACUCAUCAUUACACACACACCUGUGAAUCAUUAUGACUCACACCUGGACUCCAUUACCUUCAUAAUUUCCUCCCCUUUAUGUCACUCUCCCAUGUGCACUUACCAGUUGGUAUUGUUCUUGUGUCUCGGCGUACGUGUUCGUGUCGUGUUCUUGGUUUUGUUGUUUUAUUAAAAUGUUCACCUGCACCUGCUUCCGACUCACCACCCC
rnacentral:lncRNA from 1 species